AGCAGCCGCGGUAAUUCCAGCUCCAAUAGCGUAUAUUAAAGUUGUUGCAGUUAAAAAGCUCGUAGUUGAAUUUCGGGAUUAGUGCGCUGGUCAUGCCUUUGGUAUGUACUGGUGUUACUGAUUUCUACCUUCUGAAGAACCGUUAUGUCAUUUAUUUGGUGUGGCGGGGAAUCAGGACUGUUACUUUGAAAAAAUUAGAGUGUUUAAAGCAGGCUCGCGCUUGAAUACAUUAGCAUGGAAUAAUGAAAUAGGACGUUUGACCCUAUUUUGUUGGUUUCUAGGAUCGACGUAAUGAUUAAUAGGGAUAGUUGGGGGCAUUAGUAUUCAAUUGUCAGAGGUGAAAUUCUUGGAUUUAUUGAAGACUAACUACUGCGAAAGCAUUUGCCAAGGAUGUUUUCAUUAAUCAAGAACGAAAGUUAGGGGAUCGAAGACGAUCAGAUACCGUCGUAGUCUUAACCAUAAACUAUGCCGACUAGGGAUCGGAUGAUGUUAUUUUUUAAUGACUCAUUCGGCGCCUUAC
rnacentral:rRNA from 1 species